AUUGAACGCUGGCGGCAUGCCUUACACAUGCAAGUCGAACGGCAGCACGGGAGCAAUCCUGGUGGCGAGUGGCGAACGGGUGAGUAAUAUAUCGGAACGUGCCCAGUCGUGGGGGAUAACGUAGCGAAAGCUACGCUAAUACCGCAUACGAUCUACGGAUGAAAGCGGGGGAUCGCAAGACCUCGCGCGAUUGGAGCGGCCGAUAUCAGAUUAGCUAGUUGGUGGGGUAAAAGCUCACCAAGGCGACGAUCUGUAGCUGGUCUGAGAGGACGACCAGCCACACUGGAACUGAGACACGGUCCAGACUCCUACGGGAGGCAGCAGUGGGGAAUUUUGGACAAUGGGCGCAAGCCUGAUCCAGCAAUGCCGCGUGCAGGAUGAAGGCCUUCGGUUGUAACUGCUUUUGUUACGGAACGAAACGGUAGAGCUCUAAUAAAGACUUGCUAAUGACGGUACCGUAAGAAUAAGACACCGGCUAACUAACGUG
rnacentral:rRNA from 1 species